rnacentral:rRNA from 1 species
ACAAAGAAGAGUUUGAUCCUGGCUCAGGAUGAACGCUAGCGGCAGGCCUAAUACAUGCAAGUCGAACGGUAAGACCGAAAGGUAAAAGAGUGGCGGACGGGUGAGUAACGCGUAUGUAACCUACCCUUUGCAGAGGGAUAGCCCGAAGAAAUUCGAAGUAAUCCCGCAUGAGGAUAUACGGAGGCAUCUUUGAAUAUUCAAAGUCAAGGCGGCGAAGGAUGGGCAUGCGUACUAUUAGUUAGUUGGUGAGGUAACGGCUGCACCAAGACGACGAUAGUUAGGGGAUCUGAGAGGAUGGUCCCCCACACUGGUACUGAGACACGGACCAGACUCCUACGGGAGGCAGC